AGUUUGAUCUCUGGCUCAGGACGAACGCUGGCGGCGUGCCUAAUACAUGCAAGUCGAACGAACUCUGGUAUUGAUUGGUGCGUGCAUCAUGAUUUACAUUUGAGUGAGUGGCGAACUGGUGAGUAACACGUGGGAAACCUGCCCAGAAGCGGGGGAUAACACCUGGAAACAGAUGCUAAUACCGCAUAACAACUUGGACCGCAUGGUCCGAGUUUGAAAGAUGGCUUCGGCUAUCACUUUUGGAUGGUCCCGCGGCGUAUUAGAUAGAUGGUGAGGUAACGGCUCACCAUGGCAAUGAUACGUAGCCGACCUGAGAGGGUAAUCGGCCACAUUGGGACUGAGACACGGCCCAAACUCCUACGGGAGGCAGCAGUAGGGAAUCUUCCACAAUGGACGAAAGUCUGAUGGAGCAACGCCGCGUGAGUGAAGAAGGGUUUCGGCUCGUAAAACUCUGUUGUUAAAGAAGAACAUAUAUGAGAGUAACUGUUCAGGUAUUGACGGUAUUUAACCAGAAAG
rnacentral:rRNA from 2 species